GUGGGGAAUCUUGCGCAAUGGGCGGAAGCCUGACGCAGCAACGCCGCGUGUGGGAAGACGGCCUUCGGGUUGUAAACCACUUUCAGGGGGGACGAAGCUUCCGAGGUUAAUAGCCUACGGGGUGACGGUACCCCCAGAAGAAGCCCCGGCUAACUACGUGCCAGCAGCCGCGGUAAUACGUAGGGGGCGAGCGUUGUCCGGAAUCAUUGGGCGUAAAGCGCGUGUAGGCGGCUCGAUCAGUCUGGUGUGAAACCUUGGGGCUCAACCCCAAGCCUGCACUGGAUACUGUCGAGCUUGAGUCCGGGAGGGGAGAGCGGAAUUCCUAGUGUAGCGGUGAAAUGCGCAGAUAUUAGGAAGAACACCGGUGGCGAAGGCGGCUCUCUGGAACGGUACUGACGCUGAGACGCGAAAGCGUGGGGAGCGAACAGGAUUAGAUACCCGGGUAGUCC
rnacentral:rRNA from 1 species